GAUGAACGCUGGCGGCGUGCUUAACACAUGCAAGUCGAACGAAGCACUUUAACCUGAUUCUUCGGAUGAAGGUUUUUGUGACUGAGUGGCGGACGGGUGAGUAACGCGUGGGUAACCUGCCUCAUACAGGGGGAUAACAGUUAGAAAUGACUGCUAAUACCGCAUAAGACCACGGAGCCGCAUGGCUCCGUGGGAAAAACUCCGGUGGUAUGAGAUGGACCCGCGUCUGAUUAGGUAGUUGGUGGGGUAACGGCGUACCAAGCCAACGAUCAGUAGCCGACCUGAGAGGUGACCGGCACAUUGGGACUGAGACACGGCCAAAUCCUACGGGAGCAGCAGUGGGGAAUAUUGCACAAUGGGGGAAACCCUGAUGCAGCGACGCCGCGUGAGCGAAGAAGUA
rnacentral:rRNA from 1 species